rnacentral:rRNA from 1 species
GGCCCGGGGGGCUGCUUAACAUGCAGUCGAACGGCAGCGGGGGUGCUUGCACCUGCCGGCGAGUGGCGAACGGGUGAGUAAUGCAUCGGAACGUACCCAGUAGUGGGGGAUAACUUACCGAAAGGUAAGCUAAUACCGCAUACGCACUGAGGUGGAAAGCAGGGGACCUUCGGGCCUUGUGCUAUUGGAGCGGCCGAUGUCGGAUUAGCUAGUUGGUGAGGUAAAGGCUCACCAAGGCGACGAUCCGUAGCUGGUCUGAGAGGAUGAUCAGCCACACUGGAACUGAGACACGGUCCAGACUCCUACAGGAGGCAGCAGUGGGGAAUUUUGGACAAUGGGCGCAAGCCUGAUCCAGCCAUGCCGCGUGAGUGAAGAAGGCCUCCGGGUUGUAAAGCUCUUUCGGCCGGGAAGAAAUCGGUGAGGCUAAUAUCCUCACUGGAUGACGGUACCGGAAUAAGAAGCACCGGCUAACUACGUGCUAGCAGCCGCGGUAAUACGUAGGGUGCGAGCGUUAAUCGGAAUUACUGGGCGUAAAGCGUGCGCAGGCGGUUUUGUAAGACAGGCGUGAAAUCCCCGGGCUCAACCUGGGAACUGCGCUUGUGACUGCAAGGCUAGAGUACGGCAGAGGGGGGUGGAAUUCCACGUGUAGCAGUGAAAUGCGUAGAGAUGUGGAGGAACACCGAUGGCGAAGGCAGCCCCCUGGGCCGAUAAUGACGCUCAUGCACGAAAGCGUGGGGAGCAAACAGGAUUAGAUACCCUGGUAGUCCACGCCCUAAACGAUGUCAACUAGGUGUUGGGUGGGUAAAACCAUUUAGUACCGUAGCUAACGCGUGAAGUUGACCGCCUGGGGAGUACGGCCGCAAGGUUAAAACUCAAAGGAAUUGACGGGACCCGCACAGCGUGAUGAUGUGAUUAAUUCGAUGCAACGCGAAAACCUUACCUACCCUUGACAUGUCCAGAACCCUUGAGAAGAUUGA